ACACGACUACAUUAGAUACCCGGGUAGUCCCAGCCCUAAACGAUGCGCGUUAGGUGUAUCGGUGACCACGAGUCACCGAGGUGCCGAAGGGAAACCGUGAAACGUGCCGCCUGGGAAGUACGGUCGCAAGGCUGAAACUUAAAGGAAUUGGCGGGGGAGCACCACAACAGGUGGAGCCUGCGGUUUAAUUGGACUCAACGCCGGGAAGCUCACCGGAUAGGACAGCAGAAUGAUUGCCGGGCUGAAGACCCUGCAUGACUAGCUG
rnacentral:rRNA from 1 species